rnacentral:rRNA from 1 species
GUAGGUGGCAAGCGUUGUCCGGGAAUUAUUGGGGCGUAAAGCGCGCGCAGGCGGUUCUUUAAGUCUGAUGUGAAAGCCCACGGGCUCAACCGUGGAGGGUCAUUGGAAACUGGAGAACUUGAGUACAGAAGAGGAAAGCGGAAUUCCACGUGUAGCGGUGAAAUGCGUAGAGAUGUGGAGGAACACCAGUGGCAAAGGCGGCUUUCUGGUCUGUAACUGACGCUGAGGCGCGAAAGCGUGGGGAGCAAACAGGAUUAGAUACCCUGGUAGUCCACGCCGUAAACGAUGAGUGCUAAGUGUUAGGGGGUUUCCGCCCCUUAGUGCUGCAGCUAACGCAUUAAGCACUCCGCCUGGGGAGUACGGCCGCAAAGGCUGA